rnacentral:rRNA from 1 species
AGUGAACGCUGGCGGUAGGCCUAACACAUGCAAGUCGAACGGCAGCACAGUAAGAGCUUGCUCUUACGGGUGGCGAGUGGCGGACGGGUGAGGAAUACAUCGGAAUCUACUUUUUCGUGGGGGAUAACGUAGGGAAACUUACGCUAAUACCGCAUACGACCUACGGGUGAAAGCAGGGGAUCUUCGGACCUUGCGCGAUUGAAUGAGCCGAUGUCGGAUUAGCUAGUUGGCGGGGUAAAGGCCCACCAAGGCGACGAUCCGUAGCUGGUCUGAGAAGAUGAUCAGCCACACUGGAACUGAGACACGGUCCAGACUCCUACGGGAGGCAGCAGUGGGGAAUAUUGGACAAUGGGCGCAAGCCUGAUCCAGCCAUACCGCGUGGGUGAAGAAGGCCUUCGGGUUGUAAAGCCCUUUUGUUGGGAAAGAAAAGCAGCAGGUUAAUACCCCGCUGUUCUGACGGUACCCAAAGAGUAAGCACCGGCUAACUUCGUG